GAUGAACGCUGGCGGCGUGCCUAAUACAUGCAAGUCGAGCGAACAGACGAGGAGCUUGCUCCUCUUACGUUAGCGGCGGACGGGUGAGUAACACGUGGAUAACCUACCUAUAAGACUGGGAUAACUUCGGGAAACCGGAGCUAAUACCGGAUAAUAUAUUGAACCGCAUGGUUCAAUAGUGAAAGACGGUUUUGCUGUCACUUAUAGAUGGAUCCGCGCCGCAUUAGCUAGUUGGUAAGGUAACGGCUUACCAAGGCAACGAUGCGUAGCCGACCUGAGAGGGUGAUCGGCCACACUGGAACUGAGACACGGUCCAGACUCCUACGGGAGGCAACAGUAGGGAAUCUUCCGCAAUGGGCGAAAGCCUGACGGAGCAACGCCGCGUGAGUGAUGAAGGUCUUCGGAUCGUAAAACUCUGUUAUUAGGGAAGAACAAAUGUGUAAGUAACUAUGCACGUCUUGACGGUACCUACUCAGAAAGCCACGGCUAACUACGUG
rnacentral:rRNA from 1 species